rnacentral:rRNA from 1 species
CCUACGGGUGGCAGCAGUGAGGAAUAUUGCUCAAUGGGCGCUAGCCUGAACCAGCCAAGUAGCGUGAAGGAUGACUGCCCUAUGGGUUGUAAACUUCUUCUAUAUGGGAGUAAAGUGUAGUAUGUAUACUUCUUUUCAUGUACCUUAUGAAUAAGGAUCGGCUAACCCCGUUCCAUCAGCCGCGCUAAUACGGAGGAUCCGAGCGAUACCCGGAUUUAUUUGGUUUAAAGGGAGCGUAGGCGGGUUGUUAAGUCAGUUGUGAAAGUUUGUGGCUCAACCGGAAAUUUGCAGUUGAUACUGGCAUGCUGGAGUACAGUAGAGGUAGGCAGAAUUCGUGGUGUAGCGGUGAAAUGCUUAGUGAUCAGGAAGAACACCGAUUGCGAAGGCAGCCUGCUGGACUGUAACUGACGCUGAUGCUCGAAAGUGUGGGUAUCAAACAGGAUUAGAUACCCGGGUAGUC